UGCCAACCAGCUAGCCCACCCCAACAAUAAACAACAACCCAAUAUUAAUAACCCCUAAUACAUUACCUCCCUAUUUAACCAAACCAUUUUACCCCCUGAGUACGGGCGACAGAAAAG
rnacentral:rRNA from 1 species